AUUGAACGCUGGCGACAGGCUUAACACAUGCAAGUCGAACGAGUGGCGGACGGGUGAGUAAUGCUUGGGAAUCUGGCUUAUGGAGGGGGAUAACGACGGGCAAAUGUAGCUAAUACCGCGUACCAUAGGAUGAGCCAAAGGGGGAUUAGGUAGUUGGUGGGGUAAAGGCCUACCACGCUGACUAUCUCUAGCGGGUCUGAGAGGAUGACCAGCCACACCGGGAUUGAGAGAAGGCCCGGACUCCUACGGGAUGCAGCAGUGGGGAAUAUUGCGCAAUGGGGGCAACCCUUACGCAGCCAUGCCGCGUGAAUGAAGAAGGCCUUCGGGUUGUAAAGUUCUUUCGGUAUUGAGGCGUUAAAUACAGAAGAAGCACCGGCUAACUCCGUGCCAGCAGCCGCGGUAAUAC
rnacentral:rRNA from 1 species